AUGAACAUCACAGCAAAAACAUAUGGAAAGCAGCUAUACAAUACCACCAACAACUGCAAAUGAGCACAUCGUAUACAUCAAAGCUGUAAAUAUAGAGACAACCACCAACAAGACACCAUAUGAAGUCAUCUUCAUCCUUGACUCACACCUCCAAGAUGACGACCAAUUGCUCACCAACAUCAUACAACCAGGCACUUCACAUGAAGCUCACAACCAUGCAAACAAAAAACAAAAGCAAGAGUAGUUGUUCAACACCUAAAAAUACAUAUUUUGUAUUUCUUUUGCACGCUUGUGUCCAGAGUCAAGCAAACCCGAUUCCCAGUAUUUCUAUUUGCCAUACUAAAUUUUGUUCGUUGUCCAUAUUAACAUGUUAGAAACCAUGUACCCAUGUAUGGCACGCAACAUCUCUGUGUAUGGCACCUAAGAACUCUGUUUUGUACUUUAUAUUACUUUUGCCAAUGUAACUACUUGUGGACAAAUAUUUUAUAUAAUCUAAUGUAAUCAUCCUUCUAGCCAAAUCUUCUUUUCCAAUAAGAUGCCACAUGAUCAAAUUUCAACAUUAUUAUUUACACUGCAAUACCC
rnacentral:lncRNA from 1 species